rnacentral:rRNA from 1 species
GUAGGUGGCAAGCGUUGUCCGGAAUUAUUGGGCGUAAAGCGCGCGCAGGCGGUUCUUUAAGUCUGAUGUGAAAGCCCACGGCUCAACCGUGGAGGGUCAUUGGAAACUGGAGAACUUGAGUACAGAAGAGGAAAGCGGAAUUCCACGUGUAGCGGUGAAAUGCGUAGAGAUGUGGAGGAACACCAGUGGCGAAGGCGGCUUUCUGGUCUGUAACUGACGCUGAGGCGCGAAAGCGUGUGGAGCAAACAGGAUUAGAUACCCUGGUAGUCCACGCCGUAAACGAUGAGUGCUAAGUGUUAGGGGGGUUUCCGCCCCCCUUAGUGCUGCAGCUAACGCAUUAAGCACUCCGCCUGGGAGUACGGCCGCAAGGCUG